CCCACAGAAAAAGGGGCAGCCUCGGCUCUGCCACAAGUCCAUGUUGCCUUCUUGCCGAGAAGCCGAUGCAAAGGUUCAACAACUGUAGCCUUCUGUUUAAGAAAGACGCUGUAGAAGUUAAGGAAUCCGAGGAACGCCUGGAGCUCGGUCUGGUUGCGAAGUGGAGAAUUAAAACAAAAUAGGGGGUGACUCCAGGGACGCCAUCGUUCCAACAGUCGUUCCAUGAUGGUUUGGAACAGUCCAGGGGCAAUACUAUCACCGAAUUUAAAGGCACCCCAAUGCAUCACAAGGGUUUGGGCCUCCACCGUAGCGCCAUCUACAGGAAACUGCUGCAACUUCACUUAAGCCGUUCUUGACAUGGAGUCACACUGGACAAUGUAACCCGACAAAAUAGCGAUCGACAAAAUAGCGCCGACAAAAUAGCGCUGAUUUCAACGUGAUGUCAUAAUCGCGCCGACAACUUCGCAUCGAUAUAAUCGCGACAACAAAAGCACAAUGAAGACAACCACACACCAUUUAAAAGCAGUAGAAAUUUAUUAUGUCAAUAAAUAAUUUAAAAACUCA